AGUUUUGAUAAAAACAUACUGUUUAGGGAGGGACAACUUCCUUUCCCCUCUUCUGAUUGGUGCAUUCUCAUUCUGUUGCAUACUGGGAAAUGUAGUUUAGGGCAGAGCCUUUUGAAUUCUUUGGCGUAGGACUGCUCCCCUUCCCAAACCACAUUUCCCAAGUUCUGUGUUGUUCCCAAAAUGCAAGGCCUCCUGUCUUCACACCAAAAAGCAAGCCACCAUGAAGUCUUCAAGCAGAGAAGCCAUUAAUUUACAGAGAGAGGAAAGACAAAGGAGGCAGCACUCUGAUGAAAUUACCAAUCAAACAGGUACCAAAAUGGGUGUUGUCACAAUUCCAAUCUACUGCUGGCACUCAACCUCGCGGCACCUGCUGAUGCUGUUUUGUUGACAGGUACAAAUCACCAGCCAUCAAGGAGAGAAGCAGAGAACUGACAACAAUCCACUUUCAGAUAUCUGAAGCAGGCAAAGACCUUUUUUGUUUAAUUUUUUGUGUGUCAGGAGCUACUUGAGAAACUACAAGUCACUUCUGGUGUGAGAAAAUUGGCUGUCUGCAAGGACAUUGCUCAGAGGACGCUCAGAUGUUUUGAUGUUUUUACCAUUCUUGUUGGAGGCUUCUCUCAUGUCUCCACAUGGGGAGCUGGAGCUGACAGAGGAAGCUCAUCCGCACUUUCCCUGGAUUUGAACCAGCAACCUUCAGGUCAGCAACCCAACCUUCAAGUCAGCAGUCCUGCCAACACAACCUUCAAAUGAACCUUCAGAUUACAGCUCAUUGUGAAGAAGAACCACAAAGUAAGAAAAUCUUGUAUGAAAGGCAACCCCAAUCCUAUAAAAUGUGUGCUAAUGGGAAAGGGAACUGGAGAAACUGCGGAUGGAGCAAAGGAAGGAGAAAACAUUUGCUUCUCUUUCGGGCAACAAAAAAAGAGCUGACUGCAUAUAUGACAUUCUCCUAAUACUGUUAUUGACUCAAAGGAUUGAAAAACAGUGACACUUACUUUUACAUGGAAUGAGAAGACAAAGUUGAAAUUGACUUCAAAAGUAAAAUAAACAUACUCUUUUAAAAGAAAGAAAACUACUAAAGUUACGCGAGGAGAGCUACACCAGCAAAAUGUUAAAACUGUUAAGCUUUCAAGCAUCAAUUUUCACUAUUUGUCAUGCUAAGUAACUGUUGGACAGAACCGGGCCCAGGACGGAGCCCUGCGGCACUCCACUUGUCACUUCUUUCCAUGAUGAAGACGAUGCAUUGGUGAGCACCCUUUGUCAUUGCAUGUCUUUUUUUUCCCUCUCAUGACAAAAUAUAUUUUCAAAUAAAACUGGGAGAAGUCUUCUCCCAGCUUUAUUUGAAAAUAUAUUUUGUCAUGAGGAAAAAAAGACAUGGGAUGGGUAUUGUGCUCUCUUUUAAAAGAAAAACAUGGUGAAGACUACCAGAAGUACUAAUUCAUUUUUUCAGGUAUGUAUUGGGUAAAAACCCAAGCUGGGAUCCCAAUAUUGAAAAAAAAAUGGACUGAGGCUUCCUAUGUUCUACUUUUUAUUGUGUGCCUCAGGCCCCUACCCUCCUCUCCUUCCGGAAGUGCCUAAAAACCUGGCUCUUCCAAAAGGCCUUUGAUGCUUAAUUGUUGAGGGUUUGAUUUAUCUGCCCAUUCUAAAAUAGCUCCAUUGUUGAUGCGUUGCCAUUAUUACAUUGCACUUUAUUAUCCAUUUUAGUUGUGAAACUACCUCUCCCCAUUUCGGAAUAUUCUGCACUUUGGCCUAGAUCUAUGAAUUAGUCUCCUGUUUUUAACAUUUUAUGCUGCAUGUUGAUUUUAAUGACUGUUUUAUUGAUGCUGAUGUUUUUAUUGUUGGGAUAAUUGUGCUAUUGUUUUGUUAUUGUUAUUAUAUUGUUGUAUCGGACAAGGCCCCAUGUAAGCCGCCCCGAGUCCCUUCGGGGAGAUGGGGCGGGGUAUAAAUAUAAAAUUAUUAUUAUUAUUAUUAUUAUUAUUAUUAUUAUUAUUAUUAUUAUUAUUAUUGACCUAUGGUGAUUCUAAGCUGUUUUUAUCACAGGGGUUUUGGGCAAUAUUUGAGCAAGUCAUAUCAAAUCCCCUGUGGCCUGGUAGCUAACACGGUACUAAUGUCUGUCCAUUCUAAGGAUUCAACAAACUGAAAGCUAUACAUCUCAGAGUCAUCUUUUUUCCUUCCCAGCUCAGUUUUGAGAAUGUGGGUUUUAUUACACUACUACAUUAAAUAUCAUUGUUUCUGUAUGCAUUUUUCCAUAAUCUAUUUGUGCAUUGAAUUUAUUUGUAUACUACUUUCCCUCCAAUAUGAGAAAAAGCUGAACUGAAAUACAAUACAGUUAAAAGAAUAGAUAACAACAAAUAUAAUUAACAAUCACAUGAAAACCAUUUAAUUAUUUUUAAAGAUCACAAAAUAUCAUGGUAAUGAUAAAAAUACAAUAAACUUGAAUUGAAAGCCCAGACAUACACUUAACAUUCAGAUUUUAGGAAGCAGAAAUAUCUUUAUCUGCCACGAGAAAUAGAGCAGACAGAGGGCCCACUAGGUUUUCACAGAAAUACACAACAUAUGUCUAGAAAUUUUAAUCCAAAAAUUAAACCCAGUAAACUUGGCUCAACUUCUCUUGAGUCAACGUAAAAAGUGUACCUUCAAAAAAAGAGGGACCAUCCUCUUUUCUGAGGCUGAAUCUAUAUUGCCAUAUCAUCCAGUCUCAGAAUGUAGAUUAACUGCAUUGAACUGAGUUUGCACUGCCAUAUCAGACAGUUCAAUAUUAUUAAUCUGUAUUCUAAAACUGGAUUAUCCAGCCUGAGUAUAUUGAUGAAUAGUGAGGGCUUUGUCCAUCCCCUGAAAACUUAAAAGAAGAACCAACUCCCUCUACAUUCUCCACCAUGAUGUUGCUUCUGGACUUUUUGAAUACAUUGCAGGAAAUAAUGUAGCAGCCAGGGAUUUCUGGCCCCCGAAAUCAGCAUUAACGAUUUCCCCUUUUUUUGCAGAGUUACCACUGGCAUAUCCAUGAUUCAUAUCAAAAUUUGUAAUUUUGACAUCAAAUGCUGUCCUUAAAGUCAAUUUAUAUAUAAGCAUAUAUGGUAAUUCCAUAGUCUCGGAGCAGCCACUAAAAGGGCUUCUCACCAAAAGUGUCCAUGAUGAUGGGUGUUUAAGAUCUAAAAACUCAAGCAGAGUUAUUAUCUAAGCAUAUUUUUAAGCAUAUAAUUUAACUGGAAGUGUGUCUUAGGAAAUACAUUGCAAGCUAUUGUGCAAAUUUCUGAGAGAAAGCCUUUGAAGGUGUGCCGUCACACCCAAGCACCCUUUGGUUGAAAUUAAGUUGUGCUCCUUUCUUUGCUGGGUGGACUGUGGGGGCCUUACCUUGAAGGCUCAGGAGUCCCAGCAACUAAGGCCACUUCAAAUUGAACAUCAAACAAGAUUUUUAUUUUCUCAAAGUUCUUGACAGGCUUGGCACAAUUUGCUGAGGUUACAAAUACAAACAGUCAACUUAUAAAAUCAUGCAGAUGUUUCCUUUUUACCUUUCCUUUUGGCUGCUGGGUUAACUUCUUCCAAAGGUGGAUAGUUCCUGGGAUGCUCUUUACCCCAACCCUGAGUUGCUAUAUCAGAAAGAGCAGGUCUUUCCCUGUCUAAACUCAAAACUAGCUUGGAGACAAAGUACUUAGAGCUUCUUCCAAUGGCAGAGAAAUCCUAGAAUAUUCUCUGCCCUAGUGCUGAGUUGCUAUUUUAGAAAGAGCAGGUCUUUCCCUAUCUAAACUCAGAACAAGUUUUAAAGGCAAGAGGUUAGUACUUAUGAUGGCUUGUCUGAGCUGGCCUGGCUUGACCACGCAAGCACAUCUGAGUUCCUUUCUCUAUUUUGUAGAAGGCAAAAAAGGGCUUUUCAAAAUGGAGAUUUUAUCCCCAGGAAAAAGGGGCGGCCCUCAAGAUCAAAAAGAUACUUUUGCAAGCCGACAACAGGAAAGACUUUGCAGGCUGGCUACAAACCUCUGUUGAUGGUUAACUAUCAGGGUGUUGCUGAGUCUGUAGCAACCCUGAAAGAAACGCAAAAAGGGUGCUAUUUCCUACAAUUAUGAGACAAUGCAAGUCAAACUCCUGGGAGACGGAACAGAAGGAUUGAAAUGGAUAUUUCAGCGAGAAUAUCCAAUUCACAGAAAUUCUUAUUUUUGGAAAACAUACUGAAGUCCAUGUUGUACUGAAGAGAUUCUUAGAAAGAAGAUUCUCUCUUCUCUCUCUGUCUCUCUCAUUGUUCCACACACACACAUGCAUAUAUAUACACAUGCAAAACACACACACACACACACACACAAAACUUGUUUGGAGAUUAACAAGAUGCAGAUAGGUCAAUGUGACAAGAGUGUUGUGUUGCUGUUCACAGAUGAACUUUCCACAACCUUUCAAACACAAUGAAAUGCCUCAAUGGGGGCUUGUAUACUUCAACAAAGAUUAUGACAGGCUCAGAAUAUCAAGAAGAGGGCAAGCUUAUGAUUUUUAUAAUUUCCCCAUGGCUUUGAACAGCCCAAGAUAGACAGCAAAAUCCUUGCUAUUUUUUUCCAGAGGCUGGGUACAUGUUUAUCGCAGCAUGCAGAGAGUUUGGCACGACAGUCUUGACAGGUAAAUAAUUUCCUGUCUGUGCCAAUAUGAAAACUCUAAUUACUGCAGCAAUAGCUCAAAAAAGUCCCAACAGGUUUUCUUUUUGAGUAAAUAAAUAAAAAUAAGAGUUGUCAUUCCACACUCCAGUAUCUUGGAUAAAGAAAGUGAGAAAAGGAGAGAUUAAUCUAACUAGUUUUAUAGUUUCAUGGACAGACUAGAAAUUGAAUCCAGAAAAAGAGAGGAAGGGAAGCGAAAUUAAUUACAUGCUGUUCAUUCUUUUCUUUUCACACCAAUGUGGGUCAAGUGAAAUUAUGUUAUGAAGUGAUAUGAUAGACUCAUUUUUCCACACAAGUUCAUUUUUGGAAGAUAAAUUCCUUUGUACCAAAUACAGGCAGGAGCAGAGUGAGGCAACUAUUUCAGAUAGAAUAUGGGAGUUUCAGCAACUGUAUUUCCAUAAUCAUUCUUCUUGAUUCCUUUUGCAUUUUUUUUGGUUGGGGGACAAAGCCACAUACAUCAAAUUACUGUUCUCCAAAUCUUUGGGUAGCCUUCAUCUCUGGUGCAAUGAGGGAUGAUAUUCCAUUUCAACUUUCAGAGUAUGUAAAUUCAGAUUCCAGUUCAGUCAAUAUCAAUUUUUUGAGUUCUGAAAAAUGCCAAAAAGGGUGGAACAUUUUUGUCUCAUUGUUUCAGUCAGUACAUUUGGUAUAUUUAUUUCCCACAAUGAUGGGAAGCUUUGUAGCCUUCCCAGAAAACUGAAUUGCUUUCCUCAAAGAAGACAGCUUCUCCUUUGAACUAAGCGUACUUCCCUGGAAACUGCACUGGGAAAUAGAAUUGUUCGACAUUCAAAUUGUGGUGUUUAUGCAAAAAAACUAAAUCUUGUUGGUUUUUUAAAAUAUAAAGUAAAGGUUUUUCCCUGA